rnacentral:rRNA from 1 species
UGGGGAAUAUUGGACAAUGGGGGCAACCCUGAUCCAGCAAUGCCGCGUGAGUGAAGAAGGCCUUCGGGUUGUAAAGCUCUUUUGUCAGGGAAGAAACGGUAGUAGCGAAUAACUAUUACUAAUGACGGUACCUGAAGAAUAAGCACCGGCUAACUACGUGCCAGCAGCCGCGGUAAUACGUAGGGUGCAAGCGUUAAUCGGAAUUACUGGGCGUAAAGCGUGCGCAGGCGGUUGUGUAAGUCAGAUGUGAAAUCCCCGGGCUCAACCUGGGAAUUGCAUUUGAGACUGCACGGCUAGAGUGUGUCAGAGGGGGGUAGAAUUCCACGUGUAGCAGUGAAAUGCGUAGAUAUGUGGAGGAAUACCGAUGGCGAAGGCAGCCCCCUGGGAUAACACUGACGCUCAUGCACGAAAGCGUGGGGAGCAAACAGGAUUAGAUACCCAAGUAGUCCCUGAGCGGGCUGGCAAGGCGCAU